CAGUCCUCCCACCUCAGCUUCCCAAAGUGUUGGGAUUACAGGUGUGAGUUGUCAUGCCCAGCCAAAACUACUUUUUGAAUAAUUAAUGGACUUGAUAUACAUAGUGUAGAGGCUUAAAAAUAUUAACAAAAUUAUUGGUUAGCCAUGAUCAAUAUCAAGAUCCUGAAAAGCCAUAUAUCUGGAGUAGCCUAUCAUUAUCUAAUGAUCACCUAGUAUCUGCUUAAGUGUUUUCUUCAUAGUAGGGAUAUCUUUUUUGUGUGUAGGGAGAGGAUAAUGGGUGAUUUUUGUUUUCUCCUUUUUCAUAGUGGAUAUCUUGACCUACGUGGCUUGGAAGAUAAGUGGUUUUCCCAAAAACCGUGUUAUUGGAAGUGGUUGCAAUCUGGAUUCAGCCCGAUUCCGUUACCUGAUGGGGGAAAGGCUGGGAGUUCACCCAUUAAGCUGUCAUGGGUGGGUCCUUGGGGAACAUGGAGAUUCCAGUGUGCCUGUAUGGAGUGGAAUGAAUGUUGCUGGUGUCUCUCUGAAGACUCUGCACCCAGAUUUAGGGACUGAUAAAGAUAAGGAACAGUGGAAAGAGGUUCACAAGCAGGUGGUUGAGAGUGCUUAUGAGGUGAUCAAACUCAAAGGCUACACAUCCUGGGCUAUUGGACUCUCUGUAGCAGAUUUGGCAGAGAGUAUAAUGAAGAAUCUUAGGCGGGUGCACCCAGUUUCCACCAUGAUUAAGGGUCUUUACGGAAUAAAGGAUGAUGUCUUCCUUAGUGUUCCUUGCAUUUUGGGACAGAAUGGAAUCUCAGACCUUGUGAAGGUGACUCUGACUUCUGAGGAAGAGGCCCGUUUGAAGAAGAGUGCAGAUACACUUUGGGGGAUCCAAAAGGAGCUGCAAUUUUAAAGUCUUCUGAUGUCAUAUCAUUUCACUGUCUAGGCUACAACAGGAUUCUAGGUGGAGGUUGUGCAUGUUGUCCUUUUUAUCUGAUCUGUGAUUAAAGCAGUAAUAUUUUAAGAUGGACUGGGAAAAACAUCAACUCCUGAAGUUAGAAAUAAGAAUGGUUUGUAAAAUCCACAGCUAUAUCCUGAUGCUGGAUGGUAUUAAUCUUGUGUAGUCUUCAACUGGUUAGUGUGAAAUAGUUCUGCCACCUCUGACGCACCACUGCCAAUGCUGUACGUACUGCAUUUGCCCCUUGAGUCAGGUGGAUGUUUACCGUGUGUUAUAUAACUUCCUGGCUCCUUCACUGAACAUGCCUAGUCCAACAUUUUUUCCCAAUGAGUCACAUCCUGGGAUCCAGUGUAUAAAUCCAAUAUCAUAUGUCUUGUGCAUAAUUCUUCCAAAGGAUCUUAUUUUGUGAACUAUGU
rnacentral:sRNA from 1 species